rnacentral:lncRNA from 1 species
CAUUGCGGGGAGGCUGUCGUCAGAGCCUGGCUGGCCCCGGCGGCUGGUCCAGCCCCGGGGGCCCAGUCACCGGGCGUCAUUGGCUCAGGCAUCAGGGCCCUCAUCACCCUCUCCCGCCUCGGUCGGGCGGGCGGCGGCGGCGGCGUCAGGGGGCGGAGCCGCCCGCGGCGCCCUUUGUCUGUGCAGGCGGGAAUGCCCUCUCAGAAUGCCAUACUUUCCCAAGAAGGAAUUACAGAGAAGGAAAUGAAUGUUGGAUCACAGACAGUCAUGUCUCAGGCAAGUUCAGUUUUGUUUGUUUUUUUUUAAUAAUUUUAUUUUUUGUUUUUUGGGGUUUUUUUUUUUUUUUGGCUGUGU